UGGCAAGUCGACCAAAGGCGUAAGCAGUCAUCAAGGGCGUACCCAUUGAUCAAGAGCGAAAGUUAAGGGUUCGAAGACGAUCAGAUACCGUCGUAGUCUUAACUAUAAAUGAUGCAACCAGGGAUAGGACAGUGUCCAUCUCGACUCCUCCUGGACCUUGGAGAAAUUAUGAGUCUUUAGGUUCUGGGGGGAGUAUGGUCGCAAGGCUGAAACUUAAAGGAAUUGACGGAAGGGCACACAAAGAGUGGAACCUGCGGCUUAACGGCUAGGCCGAGUCGGCGAGUACGUAAAACACACACACAGGGCACAUCGUGAGUCACGGUAAGCGACAUUAUUUACACCGUGAUUCACGUAUUAAGCGACAUUAUUUUACAUCGUGAGUCACGGUAAGCGACAUUAUUUACACCGUGAUUCACGUAGUAAGCGACAUUAUUUUACAUCGUGAUUCUUGAAAUUUAACAGCAGAACGUGUGUUUUACGUAUUGGUCGGCUAGUCGACCCCCCAACAUAGUCAGGUUGAGAAGGGGGCGGCGAGACAACCUGGGACGGGGGAAAUCUGGGGUCAACGACCAGCUUUGNNUNNAUACUCAGACAACCUCGUGGCGAGCUACCGGCGGGCAACCGUCGGAUGGCCGUCGUAACGCGCGCAAAGGUGUCGGGCGUCUCGAUUGAUUUGUUUGGUCACGAGAUACCUUAAGGAACGUGCUACUNCCACCCGCGAGGNUGUCUUGGACUGGAGCUCUCAACCAGCGAAGNUCUACGAGGCUAUUGAUCCACGGNAAAAAAUACCGUGGGGAGGCUGGUACAAAGGUAAUUUGACUCANCACGGGNAAACUCACCAGGUCCGGAUACACGUAUGAAAGUCAAGCUGAAAGACUUUACUCAUGAUG
rnacentral:rRNA from 1 species